CGGUUGAUCCUGCCGGAGGUCACUGCUAUUGGGAUUCGACUAAGCCAUGCGAGUCGAGAGGGUUCGGCCCUCGGCUGACUGCUCAGUAACACGUGGAUAAUCUGCCCUAGGGUGGAGGAUAACCUCGGGAAACUGAGGACAAUACUCCAUAGAUCUAGGAUGCUGGAAUGCACCUAGGUUGAAAGCUCCGGCGCCCUAGGAUGAGUCUGCGGACUAUCAGGUUGUAGUCAGGGUAAUGACCUGACUAGCCUACGACGGAUACGGGUUGUGAGAGCAAUAACCCGGAGAUGAUAUCUGAGACACGAUAUCAGGCCCUACGGGGCGCAGCAGGCGCGAAAACUUCACACUGUGCGAAAGCACGAUGAGGGAAUCCCAAGUGCCAGCUCGUAAGAGUUGGCUGUUUUUCUGUCUAAAAAACAGAGAGAGUAAGGGCUGGGUAAGACGGGUGCCAGCCGCCGCGGUAAUACCUGCAGCUCAAGUGGUGACCACUAUUAUUGGGCCUAAAACGUCCGUAGCCGGUUUAUUAAAUGCCCGGGUAAAUCGGACCGCUUAACGGUUCGAAUUCCGGGUAGACUGAUAGACUUGGGACCGGGAGAAGCUAGAGGUACUCCUAGGGUAGAGGUGAAAUUCUGUAAUCCUAGGGGGACCACCAGUGGCGAAGGCGUCUGGCUAGAACGGGUCCGACGGUGAGGGACGAAAGCCGGGGGCGCAAACCGGAUUAGAUACCCGGGUAGUCCCGGCUGUAAACGCUGCGGGCUUGGUGUUAGUGUGGCUACGAGCCACAUUAGUGUCGCAGGGAAGCCGUUAAGCCCGCUGCCUGGGGAGUACGGCCGCAAGGCUGAAACUUAAAGGAAUUGGCGGGGGAGCAC
rnacentral:rRNA from 1 species